GUGCUCACUUUGGCAGUACAUACACUAAAAUUGAAACAAUACAGAGAAGAUUAGUAAUGCCCUUGUGCAUAUUCGUGAAGGUCCUACUGUAUAG
ensembl:snRNA U6 U6 spliceosomal RNA